AACAAGGCGUACCUGCGGACCUGCGGAGGGAUCAUUACAAGUGACCCCGGUCUAACCACCGGGAUGCUCAUAACCCUUUGUUGUCCGACUCUGUUGCCUCCGGGGCGACCCUGCCUUCGGGCGGGGGCUCCGGGUGGACACUUCAAACUCUUGCGUAACUUUGCAGUCUGAGUAAACUUAAUUAAUAAAUUAAAACUUUUAACAACGGAUCU
rnacentral:misc_RNA from 1 species